GGUGCUGGGGGAUCUGGUCGAUGAGACAAUAGAGAACCCCUGGACAGAAAUACAGAAGACCUGUAAGGCCGUUUGCACCAAAGUCCUGGGGAAGAAGAAGAGGGAGCAGAAAGAUGGGAUGACAAAAGAGACAUGGGAGAAGAUAGAGAAGAGAAAGGAGGUGAAGCAAAAAAAUUAACAGAUGUCAAGACCAACAUGAGAAAACAGACCUCAGAGCCCAAUAUUGGGAAGUGAACCGAGAAGUGAAGAAGAGUGCCAGACGGGACAAAAGACAAUUUGUGCACAGUAUGACAGAAGAGGCAGAAACAGCAGCUAAGCAGAACAACAUGAGGCACUUUAUACCGACGACCUGAUGGAAGCAGUUGAAAAUCAUUAAAGAGAGGGUGAUCUGAACACAACAUGACAGAGGUUGCCUUCCUCAGCACCUGCCUGUUACAGAAGUCCACAAGCUGGACCUGAGACCUCCCUGAAAUCUGACUAGCCACUUUAACCAGGUUACUAAGUCUGGUCUUAUUAUUCAAAGAAAUAUUACCAUACCAAGCAAUGAUACAGAAGGUUAAAACAGAUUCAAUAAAACUUUUAUAAAAAAGAGUCAUCAUUUCAGAUGAAACAUUAAAACCUCUCAACCUCCUUAAAAAGUACA